rnacentral:rRNA from 1 species
AGAACGAACGCUGGCGGCAUGCCUAACACAUGCAAGUCGAACGAGGUCCUUCGGGGCCUAGUGGCGCACGGGUGCGUAACGCGUGGGAAUCUGCCUUUCGGUACGGAAUAACUCAGGGAAACUUGUGCUAAUACCGUAUGACGUCGCGAGACCAAAGAUUUAUCGCCGAAAGAUGAGCCCGCGUAGGAUUAGCUAGUUGGUGGGGUAAAGGCCUACCAAGGCGACGAUCCUUAGCUGGUCUGAGAGGAUGAUCAGCCACACUGGGACUGAGACACGGCCCAGACUCCUACGGGAGGCAGCAGUGGGGAAUAUUGGACAAUGGGCGAAAGGCCUGAUCCAGCAAUGCCGCGUGAGUGAUGAAGGCCUUAGGUUGUAAGCUCUUUUACCCGGGAUGAUAAUGACAGUACCGGAGAAUAGCCCGCUAACUCGUGCCAGCAGCCCGC